rnacentral:tRNA from 1 species
CGCGGGGUGGAGCAGCUUCUGGUAGCUCGUCGUGGCUCAUAACCCGAAGGCCGCAGGUUCAAAUCCUGCCCCCGCAACCA